UACAGAGGGGGCAAGCGUUGUUCGGAAUUACUGGGCGUAAAGGGCGCGUAGGCGGCCUGUUAAGUCGAACGUGAAAUCCCCGGGCUCAACCCGGGAACUGCGUCCGAUACUGGCAGGCUUGAAUCCGGGAGAGGGAUGCGGAAUUCCAGGUGUAGCGGUGAAAUGCGUAGAUAUCUGGAGGAACACCGGUGACGAAGGCGGCAUCCUGGACCGGUAUUGACGCUGAGGCGCGAAAGCCAGGGGAGCAAACGGG
rnacentral:rRNA from 1 species